rnacentral:sRNA from 1 species
UCCUUCCAAUACGACAAAAGCCCUACCUCUCUUUUGUCCUUGCGGUUCCGUGACCGCGCCAGUGUGAAUCGGAUGCUAUGUGUGAAUUUA